GGAGGGCGCGCGCACCCGGCUCGCGGCUCCCCCUAGGCGUCUGUGAUUGGUGCGCGCGCGCGAAGGGAGCACGAGGCGCUCGCCCGCGGGGCGGGGGCUGAGCCUGAGGGGAGCGCUGAGGGAAGCCCUGAAACUCCUGGUUGUGACAUGUGCUGUGGUACAACACCAGCUUUAGAUGUAACUGCAGCCCACAGAACAAUACAUCAUGACUUGCAGGAAUUCAGUUUGCCAGUCCUCUUCAAAAUGAGCUUCCUUCUUGGGACAGGAUUUGGCCACGUGGAGAUCUGUCUUAGCUUCUUUUCAGACUUUGACAUGGGUCUGGCAAAUCCACCACCUUGGAAGAGCAAAGGACCUCCAGCAGCAGCAUAUGGGACCUCUCUGUCGUGAAUUCCAGUAGAACAUCAGGGAUCUCAGCUCUACAGCUCAUCAAAACGGGUCAUGCCUCACAGCCAGACACCAGAUGAUGCAUGGAGUGAUUCACUGCAGCACUUGGGCAGGAGGGUAAGAGUGACCACAGCACUUGUUCCUCUACAUAUCGUGGUGGGAUCUGUGCCCCAGCUGCCUGGGAAAGCUUAUGCUGCCUUUUUGAGAAAUGCCAGCAGCAGAUUCAGCAGCAGCUUGGAGGACCAAAGCUGUGUGGUACCCAGCAGAACCACAGCUACAUUAGACAUGUGCUGAAAUAACUGAUUUAGGAGCUAACUUCAAGAAAUGCUGCUCUGGACCUGAUGUGCACCUUUUCUGCUGAGAAAGACAAAAGAUCUCCUUAGCCGCUUUGCAGUUCUCAGCGCCACAUGGGAACAGAGAAAGUAUUGUAAGCAAGGUGUGAUUGAUUCUUAUGCCAUUCCCUCUCCACCCUUCUCUAGUGCUGGGUUCUGUACCAGUGACACAGCCAUUACUUUAUGUAGCGGGCUUUGUCUCAGCUUCCCAACAAUAGCAUAUAAAGUAAUGUGCUUUCUGGGCAUGCAAAAGUAUCAAAAUACUCUUAUCUCAGCAAUUGGCUCUGCUGUGAGAAAUAAUUCUCGCUCAUCAACCAUUUAAAGCAAAAAUUAUUGUAAUUACAGGUUAGCACAAGAACAUGAAAAAAUCCAACUUAAUUUUGACUCCAAGCACAAUAUCUGUUAGAUUCCUGUCACUCAGAGGCUUCAGGACUGUCUUACAGAGCAUUCAAAUAAGAACAAGCUCUUCCAAACACAAGUCCUUAGUUUGUUUUAUUAUUUCUGCCCAUAGUUUUUACCACACAUUGUUUUGCAAGGCUCUUUGAAACCUGCAUUUAGGCUAAGUGAAGAGCUAGUGGAUAAGAUUUUUUCCCUUGUGGAAUGAUGAAAAAGUUUAUUUAAACCUUUGUAAGAGGUUUCCUUCUUUCACGUGUGCAUGCCAAGGCUAUUGCUAAGAAAGGUUUGAUUCAGGGCUGGAAAACUUGCUUAGCACACUGACAGGGUAUGCAGGAUGUCAGUAUGAUGCUCCCCAUGCAGAAGGUUUGGAGUGUACAGCUAUCUUCUUGUCUUGUGACAAGAGAAUUGUACAAGAGGACAGUUCCCCUCCUCCUGGAGGUUCAUUGUUGGGAACAUGAUGACAAAAACACAGCCACAUAGUAUGUCAACACAAGAGCAGAACCAGGCCACCUCUUCCCUGUCAUUAGCCUAUUUGGCUUGGGACAUCCUGUGUUUGUCUUUAGAAGGACACCAGUGUCCCCGUACCUGCCUGGCCGUUGUUGUUCCCUGGCACAGCCCCAGCAGUCCUGUUAUCCCAAGGAGGUGAGAGGCAGAGGUCCAGCAGUGAUGGCAUGAGGCUGGGUCAGGUCACUCUGGCACUUGUGCAUGACCAGUCUGUCAAUGCAGCCUGAGGGAUGCUGCCAAUCCAGCCUCUUGCUGCGCUUCAAAAUCGCUCCUUGUGGCUCCAUGGCUGCAUGCCACAGAAAGACAUUGCUCAGUUAAAGUUCAAACUGAAUUUGUAGCCAAAAAAAACAACUCCUGGUCCCUUCCUGUCCUGAAUUAGAAUGACUUCAAAACAAAUCAGGUGACCUCAAAAAACAAAAAUAGAAGUGCUAUGCAGUCAUCACCUGCUUUCCUAGAAAAUCCGAUUUUCGUCAUUUGCACCUACUGGCAAGCCUCACCGGAGCUGUGUUUUUGUAAGACUACACAGUCCAGCAAGCCAGCCCUGAAAUGGGUGAUUAGCUGCCUGCAAUGUUUUGUCCCCCACACUGAAGCCUAUAGGGGUCUGUUACACCUAUUUUUCCCUACUGAAAAACCAUCCAUCUUCAUGUAAACUUGUUAGAGUCACAAUCUGAAAAGGAUUUUUCUUGUUCUUAAUAGGUUUAUCAUUCACACUCUUAUUGUGAUCCACAUCUUCCUUUCACAAUGCAGAAUGCCCUGGGUCUCAGGAUCUCCCCUGGGAUUUCAUUACACCAAGGGUGGGAUUUCAGCACAGCCACCUGUGUCUUGGCUCAGCCCAAACUCCUGUGUGCAGUCAACAGCACCAAGGGCGAGGUUCACUUAACCUUGAAAAUUCUUAAACAACUGCUAGUUUCUUUCCUUUGGCUAUUAAAGGAAACCAGACUGGCUAGCUUGGUGUACACCUCUACUUUGCAGAUAUCUAGAAUGAUGAUGAACACCAUGAAAAGUGACUCUGAAUUCUUUCUGAACAGGAUUUACCCUCCUGGGUUUUUUCUCACUAUUCACACAAAUGAAGGGAAAGGUAAGCAUGCCAGGAACGCACUCUUUUUUCCAGUAGGAGGGCCAGACUUCCUUUUGGUUUGUAACCUUUGCAGCAAGGUUUCUUUCUUUUAAAGCACAAACAUACAAGAUUAAAGCCACCUAAAUUCUGUACAGUCCUCAACACCUUGGCUGAGACAGUCUCUCUAUGUCCUUAAAGAGCAUUUGUACUCCAGAGAGAUGCAAAGUGCCUGCACAAGGAUCAGUCCCUCAGUUUUCCCAGUUUGGGCCCUUACAGGGACUUUUUGGCCAGACACAUCAUUUGUCUUCCUUGAUUUCAAACUUAGCAACUUGUUUGUGAUAGGGCCCCCUUGAAACAGCAGAAGACUGCCGUGCACACACCCAGGAAGAAGAGGUAACAACUGCUAAAGGCAGCAACACUUAGCUAUGAAAAGUCUACUGUGUCUUAAUGGUGAAAGCAAGCUAGGACAGAAGGGAGCUGUUGCAGAUUUGCACUGGGAGGGUGGGAAUGUGUGUUGGCCUGCUGGGAAGAGAGCAGAGGGCCUGUUUUUAGAUGAUGGCCAGGAUUAGGUAGACUGGGUUGUUUGCGGAGGGAUGAAGGCGUCUGUGUCUCCCUCAGAAAAGAACUAGAGAAGUAUCAGCAUCAGCACAAAGAUUGAGCACACAUGCUGCAAAGGCAGAAAGGAUGGUAUUUUCUGGUUUAGCCUAGUUGUUGCUUUUGGCUGAUAACCAGUAAAAAUAAAAUUUUACUGUUAUUAUUACCACAUUUGAGAAAUCAGUGUGAAGGACAAUCCUGCCACCAGAUAGAGAAUAACACAGGAGAGAAUCUAAUAGCUCCCUCCUAUCCUUUUCUCUUAGACUGUGCUAAAAUGAUAACACUUCCUUAUCUGCAAACUAACAAUAGCUCUGCAGCAGCAUAGGAAAGUUAAACAAGCCUUGAGUCAAGGGGAUGUAGAGAUUACCCCUAAGCACUGACUAAGGCUGUAGACCACAUAUUCUUCUGGGAAAAAUCAACCUGCAAAAGGAACAAGUUUUGAGGUGUUACUCACCUAAAACUGUAGUCCUGUGGCUCAUCAUGUUCCACCUCUAAAUAUCUCCCCCAGGUACUGAUCACAGGCUAGCAAAAUCACAGACUUGAAGAUUUUGCCUUUAGAUCUGAACAUAUCCCCUGUCAAUAGCAGAUAAUGCUCUAGCAGUGGAUUUCAUCCAUGCAACAACAAAAAUAGGAAAGAAACCCUGACACUGAGCCAGCCAUCAAUAGACAGGCACUGCAUGGUGACUGAACUAAUGUGCCCCCAGGAACUGUCCUGCUACAGAGAGUUUUCCUGCACAUGGCAGAGCAGGGAAGAAGUAAACUGGGAAAUUUCUGCUCUUUUAUUUGUGUUCAGAGUCAGGUAGUUUGCAGCUGAAUGGUAAAUUCUUUCAAGGCAUUCUUAAAGGAAAGAUGGAAUUGUAGCUUGGAGCAUGUCCUUGCUAGAACUGCAUUAACUCUGAAUAACUCUGCUGUACUGCACCAUACUAAGCAGAACAGAAUCCCUCUACUUAGAAAGCUUUUGUGCUGCUAGUUACUGAAAUCACAGACAAUAUCCUUUGCAUUGUACUUGUAUGAUUCUCCUCCCAUGCUACAUCAACUUAUUUAAAAUAUUACAGACUUCUGAGGAGGGCUUUGUUCCAAGAUGUACUUUUUCAACAUUCUUAGCUUUCCUCUCUGUAAGGUGGGUGAUGUGUUCUUCCACACCCACCCUUUGGCCUUGAGAAGCCAGUCCCUUAACAAACCAUGCCACGCUCUGUUUGUUUUAGUAAUUCUUACCCAAGGUCUUUAUCUUAGAAUCCUGUUUGUGCAGCUUUGGACAAGAUUCAGUACUUGGAGGGGAGGGUGAGUGAGGUGGGAAGGAUUUUUUACUGCCUUUAGUAUUUAAUAUGUUAUCUCACCUGUGACUAUUAAGUAGAUGAUUUACAAGCUUGUUGACACUGAGAUGCUGUGAGUUUCUGCCCCUUACAGUAGAUGCAAACACAACUUGAAAGAGCAACUGUGGGAGGGAUAAGGGCUACAGAGAAUUACAGUUUCCGGCCUGUGCAGAAAGCACCCAGGAAAUCUUUGGAGAAAACACUGUGGUGGGUAGCCCACUGCAAGCUCUUCACCUGCUUCUGGCAGGUCUGUUCACAACAGCAGCACACUAAAAUCACAUCCAUCUUCUCUUGCAGCUGCAAAUUCUUACAGUGCUCCUCCACACUGUGAAUUUGCUAAUGAGAGUUGUGUGUCAGUCCCUGACCAGGACACACUUGCUGAGGCCAGGCUGCUGCAGACUGAGCAGCAUGAGCUGUUGCUUUGGGAGCUUAACAGCACAGUGCAGGAAUGCCUGGAAUGUUUCAGUCAGCAGGUACUUCAGAGAUCCUUCUCUAGGAAAUGCCUGCACUUCUCAUUGAAGUAGUCCCCCAGCCCACUGCCCCUCUGAGACAGUAACAGUGGGCUCCCUCUUCUCCCCUCCAACCUUCACACAAAUCAAAAUUUUCUCUCCAGCUCCAGUGUUAACCCCGGCUUCCCUUUGUAAUGCAAAAUCAUCACGGGAAAUGAAAAUUCCACAAAUAAGCAACAUACCAGUGUCUUUCCAAACAUGCUGUAGGUCUGGAUACAACCUUGGAGGGCAGGCCGCUUUUAGAGGAUGAUCCCUUCCAUAGCUGUGGGGCCAAGUGUUUGCAGCUCAUCAAUUCAACAGCUUCCAACAGCAGAAAAAGAAGUUGCUCAUCUGGCAAGAAAAGCUAUCAUAGUUUAAAAGACCACCUCUGCUUUUGUAGUUAUCUUUCCUAUGCUGUCUCCACCUUACCCUACCUAUCCAACUCUGAAACACCUUGCAGACACUAAGAGUUAAAUUUUCUGAUAAGUGCUUCUCUGAUUUCCCAUAUCUUUUAAACUUCCCACCUCUGCAAACCAGUGCUUGCUGAAAGACCUUUGUCCCUACCACACUAAUCACCAGCCCAACAUAUCACGGACAUACUCUCCAGGAUCUAGGGCUGUUGCGGGAAAGGAGAUACAGUAUGGAGCCGUCUUUAAUGCAUCCUAAAAACACUUUGUGAACUAUUCUAACUGUGAAAUACCUCUGUCCAUUGGGUUAAUUCUUGUCAUUUCUGGACAGAUAAAAUGACUGUCAAGAAACAUCUUUUGCUCAUUUAUAAUUGGUUGAGAAACUUCACUUCUAGAAGGGAAGAAUGCAAAUCACUGUAGCUAGUACCUAAAUUGACAGGAAGGGUAGAGGUGUCAGUUUGAGGGGAAAUGAAAGCAGGGUUAGUUGCUAAAAAAGCAGUGUAAACAUCUGGAAAAACUCCAGUCAAUAACAUCUCCUUUCUUGUCUCCAGGUUUACUUGUAUUACUUGAAACAAGAUGCCAUCAACCAAACCAAACACCUGAGGUUCUAUACCAUGAUCUGCCCCAUUAAUGACCAGGGACAACUGAACCAGCUAUUCCAAAAUACCUUUUAGCCACCCUGUGCAAAUAGAGGUCUCCUAAGUAAGCUGUAGGUACAUGUCUUGUACACAGGCAGGAUAUGCAGAGUUUUCUGAAAGAAGAAUGAAAGCAAAUGUCAGUGUUUCAUACACAGUGGCAGGCACAGUUAAUUGACUUGCUGAAUAUAAAAUAUUAAUUUAACAUAUAAAUAUGAGAGGAAGGAAGAAAUCAAUUCACUUAACUUGAAUUUUCUCUAUGCUGGCAAUCUGCUAAAAUCCAAUAAUCUUGGUGUUCAAAGGAGAGAUUCCUCCAAUGUUCAACCCAUUCAUUGUUACUGUUGACCUGCAGAACUGGCAGAGGGCAGCUCAAUCAUUCCCAGGCAUGCAGGGCAAGGAAACGCUUGUUGGAUAGAGCGCCUCCCUUUCAGUAUCAUGAAACCCCUCCUGAGACAAGCUGCUGCAGCCAGGGGCUCAGCAGGAAAGGGGUUCUGCCAGAGUCAUGGGACUGGGGGUGUUAGAGACAGACAGAUCUGCAGUCCUGAGCCGAGGAGCCUGGGUACCAGAGCUGCGGCCCCAGCACUGCUGAGAGGUGUGGUGUCACUUCCAGCUGGAGUGUCCAGGGCUGUAGUGUGCCAGGCAGGCUGCCUUGGCCAGGUUUCCCAAAUGCUGUACCGGAGACAGACUGUACAGAGCAUACUCUGCACAGAGAACACCACUGUUGUGCUGCAGCUACUCCUCUGGGACCCAAUGUCACACACAAAUCCUGAGCAAAGGGAGAAAUCGAUCUGCCAAGGGCACUUCCAGAGAAGCUCUGAACUGCAACAGGAUGGGCAGUGCCCAGUCAGGUGGUUCCUGUUUGUUUUGUACUCCUGUAGGCAAGAGAAUCCAUCCUCAGCUUUUCCCUGAAGCAAAGCUGAGUAAUGGGGCCCUGCCUAGAUUGAUAAAGGGAAAGUAGGGCCUUUCCUCCAUGUGCACUGGAAUGAACUUGAGGAAAAAGGUAAGAAACAGCCACCUGAGCUCUUGCAUACCACUUCUGGGGCCCAAGAGAGAGUUACAUCAGCAAAAUUAGGGCAACUUCAAGGUUUUAUUAACUCAACGGUGCACUGACAUCCACACUACAGGCUUUGGUGAACCUGUCAAACGUGGUGGAAUUGGUAGGACAGAUUUCACUCAGUCUCUCGGUGGGUCUGGUCUGACACUGACUAGAACUUCAAAGAAGAUAAAAAAUGUUACUUGCUCAGACAGGCUUACAAGGAUGGUGCCACAAACUUCAGAAGAGGAGUUAAUUUGACAUGUCUUAACUUGUACAGAGAGAGGAAUUUCCUUUAAAUCAUUAUUGCUCUACCAGCCAUAAAACCUCAGAUUUCUGUUUGUGCACGACUCUUCUUGAAAGAAAGGCAUUAUACUGUACGUAUAGUUAAAAUCCAGACUUUGGGGAACUGCAAAAUUGACCAUGACUUCUAAAGAAGUAGCUUCUAGAAGAAAACUCAACUCUGGAGAAAGGACAACAUUUUUCACAAAAUUGGGAGAAGAAACAGGAAAAUCCUUUACUCAUGUAUUUCUGCUUUCUGCCACAUGGUAUGUAUGUUUAUGUCUUUCACUGCAUGAGAAAAUGGUUGCACAGUUGCCUGGAAAUCUCAGUGCAAGGUCCCUCCACAUCAGCACAGUUUAGUCUCGUUAAUCUUUCCAAGGUCUCCCCUUUCCACUGUCUGUUGCCCUUCCUUCUCCUGGGCCAAUGCUGUCCCUUAUCCUCUCCUGCCAAUGUCACUCUUACCUCUGUUCUUCCAUCUUUUCUACCUCUCCCCUUCUCCUGUUACCAUCUUUCGUGCAAAUGCCACUCACCUUCUCUGUUGUCUCUUGCUAACUCAUCCAGUCUUUAUCCCUUUCCAGAACAGUUGAAAGGCAGCAAAUUGGUAGAAAUAGGAGAAACAACAUCUUUCAAACCUUGCUACAGGACCAAUGUUUCUGCUAUCCUUCAUAAGUGGAAGUCUUUCCAAAGAGACUUUGCCUUUCUGCUCUGGGGGAAGACAUUGUGUUCUCACUGACUGUAAGAGCAGAGGGGAGACAGAACAGGAAGGGCUGGGAGUCUGUGUUCAGUUUGAACUGCAGCAAAUACUUCCAACUGGGAAUAAGGGCAGUCCAUGGUGUCAGCUGCUCUAUUUCUGACUCAUAGCUCAGGAGGCCUCUAUUUCCCACAGCCCCAUGUUCAGCAGGUAGCAUGGCACAUGCACUUCUGCAAAUGCCAAAGUAGACAAAUAAUGCUCACUCGCCGGCAGUGGUCUGGCUAUUGAUAUUCCAAAAUUAGGGAUUCAGCUCCAUCCUUUCACACUGAGUGCAGCAGCUUAAAGCACUGUCGCCACCCUUGCUGCAUAGUUUGCUCUCAGUGCAUGAGAGACAUACGGUGUCCUGUCACUGCCCCAGAAGCAGAACAAUAGCACAGGAUUUACAGAGCCUGAGGGAAUGAUUUUCUGGAGCAUGCAGUGUUGGCCUGGUGCCACUGCCAUGGAGGUCAGGGUCAAAUUGGCCAUUUGCUUAUAAAGCAGCUGGUACUAUUGAAAAAUGCCACCCUUGGGCUCUGUGAACUUGGGCUGCUUUCUCUGUCCCACAGUAGAAUUGAAAACAUCUUUCAUCUGCAGUGCUGUGGAGAGGAUCGGCAGUAGAUAAGAGCUAUCUAGACAAAUGUCCUUUUCUUCGAAGGAGCACUUGGAAAUCUGCCCUUUACCCAGACUCCAACACAAAUGGACAAAAUCACAACCCUUUAAACAGGAGCUCCUUCCCUACAUAGAUCUGUAUGCAAGUAAGAGAGAGAGCCUGGCAGUUGUCAGAACCCAUCUAAGGCCACAUCCAAAACUUCAGCUGAACUUAUCUUCUUGCAAGAAUCUAUUCUGUUUUGUAGUAUUUCUCCAUGUUUAAAUAAAUGCCCACACCCAAGCAAAAAGGGACACAACAAAAUCCUGGGAGACCUACUAUGCAUGAUUGUCAUAGUUUAAGCAUCACUGUUGUGCUUAUAGAUGUAGACAUGUUCGGACACCGCAAUGCCAGCAAGUAGAAGGAACAUCUGAAAAUAACUUUAAAAGUUAACACACACAAUUAAGUAAUGAAACAUGGAAGCAAAGAGCUAAAAAGACACCAAAAUGAAGCCUAAAGAAAGUGGCCAACAUCAACAGACAAAAUCUGCAGCACACCCAACCUUAACAGGAAGCAGGAAUUCCUUGCCUAGGGAUGUCUUCUAAAUGAAAAGAUCAUAAGACUGAGAUUAUAAACUGUCAAAGAAUCUUGUCCCUUGGGUGGUACCAGUCAACAGGUCUAUGCUGAGAUGGCAAAAUGAAGUAAUAUAUGCUGUUAUCUCAGGGCACAUUACAAGGUUGAGGUGGAGAUGGUAAUUAUAUUGAUGUUCAAGUCAUGCUUUUUUCAAUAAAAAUGUAAUUUAGUGGCCCUAUAGUUAUUCUUCAGCUGUGGAGGUCCAGAGUCUAAGGUCAGGCCUUCAUAAAUGGGAAUUUACUCAUGCUCAGCUGACUCUGAUGUUACCCUUUGAAUGGACACAUCAAUGAUAUGAGUUACAAUGCCUCACCCACUUCCACUUACCUCCUUCCUUUUUCAUACCAUUUUGUCAAUACAACCUGGAAGCAGAGAUGACAACUCAGACCUGCGAGAGUGAACUUUGGCUGCUGUGUGAAAUGUUUACACUGACUGCUGUGUAGUGUCACCCACCAGGCUGCAAAAUCAAUAUGAACUACAUGAUCUGAUGCUUCAGAUAACACUCACCAACAGAGACAGAGCAAACUAUCAUACUCCAACUAGUGCCACGUGAACUGCAACACUGCUCAGGUGUAAUAUACCUCGCUACCCAAAGAAAGGACACACGAGCUUUACAUCUCAAAUCCCACUGUGCUCAUGUACAGAAAAGGGGAUGUAAGCAUGGCCCACAUACUGUUAAAUGGGAGGAGAGGGGGCUAC